rnacentral:lncRNA from 13 species
AUUUAGUAUUUCUUCAUUAAUAUUUUGCUUCUUUAGACAUUAUUUUCCCACUUUUCUUUCGUUCUUUGGUCAUGACUUCCUUUAGCCUUUUAAGCAUUUUUAAGAUAGUUAAUUUAAUUGUUUAUCUACUAACUCCAAUGUCUGUGCUUCCUUACAACCUGCUAAUGUCUUUUUUGUUUUUUUCCUUGUGAAUAGACCAUACUUUCCUUUUUCUUUUUAGCCUUGUGAUUUUUUAAAAUCACAACUGUGCAGUUUUUAUAUAAAUGUAAUAACUCUAGAAAUUAGAUUGUCCCCAUAGUAAAACUGUGCAUAAAUGUGGAAACUCUGGAAAUUAAAUUCUCCUAUUCCCUGGGUUUGCUGGUGUUAUUUUAGGGCUAUACUUGUCUAGUUGGUGAGUUUUCCAAACUGUUUUUGCAAAACUUGUAUUCCUUAUGCUGUAUGGUUACUGAAGUCUAUGUUCCAUUAUCUCAGCAGUAAAAAAGUUACCUGAUAGAGAUUUUUAAAAUACAUUUGGAGUUAAAAAUAACAGAAAAUCCUACUCUACUAAUUUGUGCAGAUUAGCUCUGAGCUUGUUACUUCAGUACUAAGCCAGACUACCCAGAACUGUGCCUUAACCUUAAUAUUUUGCUUUUGUAGAGCUCACAGUUAUCCCAAAGGUGCAUGCCUAGGAUUCACCCAGGUUUAUUCAGAGCCCAUUUUUACUCCUGGUCAUGCAUAUUGUAUACCUUAUUAACAGAAUGAAGCUUCUAUGUUUUUAUUUCUUCAAGGAAUUUCCUGCUGAGCUUCAUCUUUCCCAGGCUUUAGAGUUGUCUGAUGCUUGCCCUAUCUACUGUCUCCUCCUUCAGAAAUCUUGAUAUCCAUUAUGUCUUAUGUUUUUGAGAGCCACAAAAUGGUUAAAAAGAAGUAAAUAUAUAUACUACCAUAUUUGGAAAUAAAUUCCUAUAUAUACAUAUAUAUU